UCUUCCCCCGUCUCGUUGGAAUCCUCGCCAUCUUCCUGAAACCCCAAGCUUCGAUCUCGCCGUCAGCCGACCGACUCGGCUCAAGGUAUUUCGUUCCUGCAUCAGCGGCGAGGAUGGGCGCCGAGAGGAAGUGAUGGAGCAUGCGAUUCUCGAGAUUUGCCUCAGGUUCGACGAGCUUUACAGGUCAGUUCAAUGGCAUAUGAUCUUGCACCCUGCUGCCAAUUUAAUCAGUUUUGAUGUUUGCUAGAUUGCUGGAGCAAUUUAUUUAUGGUUGCAGAUGAACUCAGAAACUAUGGUGAAAGAUUACAAAGUCCAUCUACAAAAGCUGAUCAUUUGCCAUUACAUCAUUGUCAAGCAACACAAAAUUCCCCCAUCAUGUUGACUUUUACAAAGGUUAGUGCUUGACAAGAACCUUGAAGGGAAACAAGCUUUAUUUUCUGCCGCAAGAGUUCCAAGGAAGAGAAGCAGGCCAGCAAAUCACUCCAUCGAUUGCAGAAUGGCUUGGAAUUAAAGAAGAGUCGUCUGUGUCCACCAUGAUCCAUAUGGUCCAACCCUAUGUGAUUUCUGAGGACUAAGUGCUCUGAAGCUGCUUAAUGAUCAGCUAAUGGAAUAAAGAGGACAGGGACAGAAAGGGACUUUGGAUUUACGAAAUAGGGGAAUCACCCAAGUGAGCAUAUCAUUUGGGCAUGGAGAUGACUCUUUGGUAGGCCAUGGUAUCACUGAUACAGAAGACCUUUCUUUUUUUUCUUUUACAGGUAGAAGAAUCAGGAACCAAACUUCAAGUAAUUGGUGGCUCUCCUUGGCUCAUCUAGAUUACGAGAUAAAGAGCAUGAUUCAUGAUCUUUCAUUGCUCUAAAAAGUAUAUUUCCAUAGAUAGCGAGGACGAACACGAGGAUUUCCUAAGACGUUGCCGGGUGCUCCGGCAGGGGAUGGGGUUUUAUCAGCUUUGACCAGAGAAGAGGACGGGAUAAGGUAUACCUUUUAGAAUCUUUUAUCAGUACCGCUUAUCAUCGUCCCUCACCCAUCUUAAAAACAGCGGUCUUGAUAAUUACAUAUCAGUAAUUAUUUUUUUACUAUAUUAUAAAUAAAAGUAGUCUCAUGCAUUUAUUCAUAUAGCAAAUCCUAGUAUUCAUGUAUCGCACUGGUGAUGGUAUUUUAUUUUUUGGUCUAUAAAGAGACAUCAUCCUAAUAGUUAAAAGCACUUUGUUUGCUAUUUAGAAGUCAAGGACUAGUGGUAAUCUUUUAAUGGGAGUGUUCUUUUUUUUUUUCUUUUUUUUUCUAAAGGUGUUUGGUGACAGAGAGAUAAAAUAAUUGUUAGGGAAAAUGCUCUUGAAGAAAUGCAGAAUCUCUAUAUUUUGUAAUUUAAAAAAAUCUCUACGGCUAAUAAAGAAAGAAAAUGAUGAUAUGGUGGGAUGGAGCCGAGUUUAGAUCGACCCUCUCACUCUUCUUUUCUACAGGGCUAAGUCUAAAUGAAAGUUUGGUGUCUGUCAUGGAGUGGGAUUAUUCUCAAGUAGCACUAAGUCUUUUUUGGACGCAUUCAAUGCUUUACUGUUCUUUCUUUUUCUUGAUGGGGUAAUGAUAUGACAUUUACGUUCUUUUCCCUGCUUGAUUUAUUUAACAAGCUUCAAAAAUAGGGUAUAAGGAUAUUUCAUCCUUAUGAAUUUAGAUCUGCUAUUCAUUUCUUUAUGUUAUAUAUAUAUAUAUAUAUAUAUAUAUAUAUAUAUAUAUAUAUA